CUGGCCCUGAAUCAAGGCUGGCAGCUUCCUGAUGUGUUGGUUUCAAGCAAGAGCCUAAAGAGAUGUCUUUCUAUGGUCUGUUGGCCAUUUCAGAACUUGGGCUGUGAAAGGGUCAGUUCAUUAGAAAGAAACAGCU
ensembl:snoRNA small nucleolar RNA SNORA2/SNORA34 family